AGGGAAGAAGCUAAAUACAGCAAUUAGUUGUUACCUAAUAGAAAGUGAGAGAUUCACCUCCCCUA
rnacentral:tRNA from 1 species